AGCUAAUUGAAGCCUUUUUUCCAGUUAGCCUCACUGAUUAAUGGUUUUCUUCAGGCUACACAACUGUUCAGUCCCAAUCCCUUGAGUUCCCUUCGUAUUGUGCGUUUGGAAAUGUUCUUACUUUCACUAUUAAACAGCCUGGAGUUCUACUGUUGUUUUUCUUUGAUUUAAUUUCACCAAACGUUUAAGUGAUCGUCCAUCACGAUCAUUCAGGAUUUUUUCCGGCCACAUUUCUUCUUCGAAGACGACGGGUCCCCAAUAUCCUUCCAGUUUUUAAUAAUGCGUUGGACAGUUCUUAACCCAAUUUGGUAGUUUCUGCAAUCUCCUUAGAUGUUUUCUCUGCUUGAUGCAUGUCAAUGAUUUGACUUCUGAAACAGACUGACCUCUUUUCCACGACCUCAGGAUGUUUCUUUCAACAUGGUUGUUUAAGAAAUGAGAAGCAACUCAUUGCACCAGUUGGGGUUAAAUAACUUGUUGCCAGCUGAAACAUAAUAUACCCAUGCAGUAAUUGUCCAAUGAGAGACUUGAACCUACUUGCUUAGUUAAAUCCAGGUGGCAACUUUUUUUUGGCCAGUGAGUGUAUGACACACUGCUCUGAGCAACCAGUCAUGAGGACACACAGUGUCCCUGUCAAUCUGCGCCGCACUGACAGGUGUAUUCCCCUUCUUUGUCCCUAGUCUGGUUAAAUGGCCUUUAAUGCCACCUUCUUUUCUUUGUGUUUUUCCAAAACUACAUGGCAAAUUAGCUCUUCCUCCUCAUCCUAAUGUAGGAACUUGUCACCAGAAAUGUAGGAAAUCGGUAUGCUCAACUGUGAUAUCUCAAACAUCCGCAGACAAUGUAUGCAGAGUCCGCGAUGCUCACAGUACGCACGACUAUGUGGGAGGCUUCUAUUGGGCCUUUUUUCCAGCAUCAUUUGUUCUUGCAGAACAGGACUAGAUGUCUUUAGAUCAUGUUCUUCCUUGACUUCAGCAGCAGCUGUGAGAAAUGAAACAUGCACUGAUCUUCCCGUACACUGCACUGCUCCUCAGUGCGCAUGUGUGGUUGUCUUUUGCUCCUGUGACCUGUAACAGGAAGUGGAGUCCCAGUGGUCGUGUAUCUGAAACGUGAACGUCGAAGCUGCGGAUUAAUCGAACUGAUCGACGUUAAGAACAAUCAGAGAUCUGUCAGGAAGUCAGCCCAACUGAAAAACAGAUAGUUGGUGCGCCUGGUUCUAACUGGUUUAACUGGUUCAUCUGGCUAAAACCACAACUAUCAGAGUCUUUUGGACCUGCAUGGAACCUGGGGAUUCAUCAGAUUCUCCUGAACCUUCAUGGACUUUGUUGGACCUUGGUGAAAUGUCAGAUCCUCCUGGAUCUUCACAGAUCCUUGGAACCGUGAGGAACUCUGGUGGGCAGUCUAAUCCUCCUGAACUCUUCUUUUUGGUCUUGUUGUAGUGGGACUGAUGGACAGAAUGGACUGGUCCAAGUGGACCCUGAUGGUGGUCCAGCUAUGGAACUAGACCGGAGACCUGGAUUAGGUUCAUCGACAGUUUUCUUCAGCUGCUCCAAUUUUUUUCUCUGUUUUCGCUGUUUGUGUUUUUUGAGCCUGUGUUUGACCCGUAGUUGUAGUUCUUUGCUCACAGUAGCUUCUGCAUGAUGAUGAUUAUGAUGGUGGUGCUUCUUCUUUUUCAGAAGUUUUAAUGUUUACCUUUUAAAAUAAGGGGCGGGGCUUCCACUGGUGACCCAAUGUGUGUGCAGACUGAGGUCUGAUUGGUGGAGCUGUUUUUUUUUUAUUGAAUAUUGUCAUUUCAGGGUUUGCAGGGGGUGGGGUUCCUUGCAGUUGGCUCACUGGGUGUAAAUCUGCCUGUAAAUAUUUAUGAGGAAGACCACGAUGAAGAUGAGUCUGUCUCAGAAAAAUUUGCUGUUAUUGUGAAGGGCCGCAGAUCAAAAAGUUUGUAUCAUAAAAAUAAAGUUCUAAUUUUAA